AAUAGAAAAUGGAUAGUAAAAAUUGAUCCAUUCUCUUUACACUUAAAGUGAAUUUACAAUUGACACUUAGUUAAAUCGUUAUGCACAAAUAUUACGUAUAUUAAAAAAGUGGCAGUGAGUGCAUUGGUAUAAUAGUUAUUAACUCAACAAUUGUACGACAAUGACACAUUAAUAAGAUAAUGAUUGCAUUUUAUAUAUUUAACGAGUAUGCUAAUCUAAAUGAUAAGGACACAAAUAAAAUAUUUAAAUAUAGCCACUUCUCUUUUCUAAAAUGAGCUGAUAUAACUUAUCAUAGUCAGCCUUAAAUCUCGUCAGAAUAAUACCACUAAUUUUAUUGUUUCAUUGCAAUAUUGGUGCGCGAUUCCUCGCACAUAUUGUUGUUUAAACAUUUCUAUCUAAUGUAAAAUUUAAAAAAAAGAAUUUCUGUUGUAUAAAAAGUGGCCAAGUUAAUCAUUAAUAAAUCAUGAUACAUGUGUGUGUAUGUGUGUGUGUGCGCGCGUAUAUUUCGAGCAUAAUGAAACUAUAAAGGACUUCAAGAGACAUAAGACAUCAGUCUCAUGGCUUAGGCUGUACUCGUGUGACUAUUAGCACCACUAAUGACACUAAAGAGAGCAGCACUGUUACGUUUAAAGCUUCCAACUUGUUCGUCCGACCAUAUAGGUUCACCCAAUAACGAUGACAAGCUUUGGCAAAGCUUUUGAUAAUUUUCGCGUAAUACUUCCUGAUAUUCAUGCUGAUCGGGAGUAAUUAACUUACUGUUGAUCUGCAAGGCUGUAUAACAUAUUUUUACAAAUUCCCUGGAAAAAGAAGAAGAGAAAAAGAAAAAAAGAAAAAAAAAAAAAAAAAAAAAAAAAGAAAAAAAAAGAGAAAAACAAUAACACAUUAUUAUACAUAAUAUAUGAUAUGAGGAAAAAAAGAUAUUCUUAUAUAAUAAAAUUACCUAAAAACAUCCUUUAACUCUUCAACUUUAUCAUCAGGAUAUUGCGGAGAAAGUGCUGGGUCUAAGAAUGCAGAGGCAUAAGCAAGUGGACCAGCAUUUACUGUCACGCAAAUGCUUCCUUGUAAUCGCAAUUGAAGUUUUUUUACAUCAGUUGGAGCUAUUAAAGCCACAUCCUCUAAUUCUUGAACGCGUUGUCUCAUUUCAUCUAAAGCUACUUCGAUGGGGCCAAGUUCCAUUAUUCUCUUUUCGAUCACUACUAUACGUUUUUUUAUGUACGGAAAGGAAUAUUGUGCUAUAAAUAAAAAGUAACGUUUUAUAUGCCUUA